UACAGAGGUCCCAAGCGUUGUUCGGAUUCACUGGGCGUAAAGGGUGCGUAGGCGGUCGGGUAAGUCUGAUGUGAAAUCUCACAGCUUAACUGUGAAACUGCAUUGGAUACUAUCCGGCUCGAGGAAUGGAGGGGAGACUGGAAUACUUGGUGUAGCAGUGAAAUGCGUAGAUAUCAAGUGGAACACCAGUGGCGAAGGCGAGUCUCUGGACAUUCCCUGACGCUGAGGCACGAAAGCCAGGGGAGCAAACGGG
rnacentral:rRNA from 1 species